UUAUCUUUUUUUUCUUUACAAAAUCUCUCUCUCUCUCACUGUUUACUCAAUGUCACAUGCUGUUUUAUUUCAAUUAUGUAAAGCACUUUGAAAUGCCCUGCUACUGAAAUGUGCCACACAAACAAAAUUYAAUUUAUGGAUUGGUUCUGUUCCUGAAACUCACUACCUAAAUCUUAUAGUACUGCAUAUGCUGCUUUUAUUUCAUAUUUACAACAAGAACUGUCUGUGUACAGACUUCUCAAAUCUUUCACUUGUAGCACUCAGAUGUGCUCUCCUCCUGUUUCUGAGGCAGAACUGCGUGUACUGUCAGUUCAGCCACAGAAACAUCCAAACUAAAUUGCAAAUCGCAACAAGGUAGAGCCAAUCGUUAUCAGGAUAAUCUAGGAGCAUAAGUCCUACCAUUCCUAGUCAUACAAAGAAAGUGCAAUAUGUCCAUCACGGUCAUAUCCCGGGUGAUUCAAACUCACAGCUCUGUGACUUGGGGACAUCUAAAUGAUUUGAAACAAUAAAAACAAUAUCAAAACUAAAAGAAGCUCUGUUCCUGGAGACUGACAGCUCAGAUGUACACAGUGUAUAACACUCACUAACUGAAUGUGAUAACAAGUAUGUGCGGCCUUAAUCCAAGAACACAGUGUAAGUGCAUUUAACAAAAUGUUAUUCCUUUCUUACCUGAAUAAAAGCUUGACCUCUAAUAAGUAACACUGCACUAGCUGCUGCUGUCCCCUCCACUGCAGCAGGCUUAUGGAAACCGCCAAAUGUUAGGACCCAGUUAAAAAUCAAAAGCGACAGGUGUGAUGUCAGUGUACCCCAAGUCAGUGGGACGUGUGGCCCAGAACACUGUAUUUCAUCUGUUUCGUGGAUUGGGAGAAGAAAAAGCGAGGAGGAGGAAUAUACCGUCAGUCUAAAAUCUACAGGGAGCAUGAAAUUACACAUCCCAAUAUCCAAAACUAUGAGCCAGAGUGCAGAGCCAAAAAAUCAUAUGGCACUGUCACUUCGAACAUGCUUUUGAGUCAAACUCAUGCACCAGCAACAGAUACUUAGCCACAAAAAUGCAAAACAUGUUCCAGGCACUACCUACUAAAGUUACAUCAAACUACUCCUGGAACCAUUCUGUCCAAUUAAAUCAUUAAAACAGGGUGGCAUGGGAAAAGGUCAAAAAUCAACCCAGAGAAUAUAAGUGUUCGGAUCUAGGGUUUCCAAAGUGAGAAGCAGGACCAAAGCUUGGUGUGUUCAUUCGUGUCCAGCUGUCAGCCAGGUGCUCCACAAUCCAAAAGACAUGUCCCUGACACUGGAAUAUAUACAAAGAGUCUUUCUGGGCUUAAACCCCAAACGAGGGUCGAAGGCUGAGAUGAAGGGGAAGAAGCAUCAUCACAUUCCACCCCGACUGCUCAAGUUUGUAAAUGAACUGUAUGACUUUGACAGUCCAUGGAAAAUUUGAUUCUUGUAAAAGGUGAUGCUUCAUAAUGUUCUCUGUUCUGUUGACAGCAGUUCAGAAAAUAGUAGUUGGAUGUUGGUCCUUGUUUACACCUGUGAUUUUAAUCUUGUAAUGCAAAUUGCAAGAUUUAAAUUGUAUUUUUUAUGUUAGUGUUGGAUUGUGUUAAUUAAAUUAAACUUAACAAAAUUAUUAAAUUAACUUGAAACUCUGGACUCAAGAAUGAACUUUACAUUGACCUUAARAACUUUAAAAAUAUGUUUGACUGAAUAUAUAAUCGAAAAUGCUAUUUAAUUAUAUUGUAAUGAUGUGUUGAUAUGGUAUUGAAAAACCUUGAACUGCAAAAUAAAAUUUGCAAAUUGAU